rnacentral:rRNA from 1 species
UCGCCUGUUUAUCAAAAACAUGGUUUCUUGGUAGGUAUAGGAGAUUUAACCUGCCCACUGGUUAUAGAUUAAAGGGCUGCAGUAUAUUAACUGUACAAAGGUAGCAUAAUCAUUAGUUUUUUAAUUGAAGGCUGGAAUGAAUGGUUGGACGAGGUGAAAUCUGUUUUGUAUUAAUAAGUUGAAUUUAUAGCUUAAGUAAAAAGGCUUAAAUAAUAUUAAGGGACAAGAAGACCCUAUAGAAUUUAAUAAGUAAUAAUUUAAUUUAGUUAGUUAAUAGUUUUUAGUUAUUAUAAAAUCUUAUUUAAUUGGGGAGAUUUAAAGAUAAUAAGAACUCUUUAUUAAUUUGAAUAUGAAUUAGUAAUAUUUUGAUCCAAAAUUAGUGAUAAUAAGAUUAAAUUACCUUAGGGAUAACAGUAUAAUUACUUUUGAGAGUUCUUAUCAAAAAAGGGGAUUAUAACCUCGAUGUUGGAUUAAGAGAUAUUUUAGGUGAAGGUGCUUAAUGAAUUAAGUCUGUUCGACUUUUAAAAUCUUACAUGAUCUGAGUUCAAACCGGAGA